rnacentral:rRNA from 1 species
CCUACGGGUGGCAGCAGUGGGGAAUAUUGCACAAUGGGGGAAACCCUGAUGCAGCGAUGCCGCGUGGGUGAAGAAGGUUUUCGGAUUGUAAACUCCUUUUAUCAGGGACGAUAAUGACGGUACCUGAAGAAAAAGCUCCGGCUAACUACGUGCCAGCAGCCGCGGUAAUACGUAGGGCGCGAGCGUUGUCCGGAUUUACUGGGCGUAAAGAGUGCGUAGGCGGGGUAAUAAGUCAGAUGUGAAAUCCUGUAGCUUAACUACAGAACUGCAUUUGAAACUGUUACGCUGGAGUGUGGGAGAGGUAGGUGGAAUUCCUGGUGUAGGGGUAAAAUGCGUAGAGAUUAAGAGGAAUACUGAUUGCGAAGGCGACCUGCUGGAACAUGACUGACGCUGAGGCACGAAAGCGUGGGGAGCAAACAGGAUUAGAUACCCCGGUAGUC